GACGAACCGUGCGAACGUUGUUCGGAAUCACUGGGCGUAAAGCGCGCGUAGGCGGAACGUUAAGUCCGGUCUGAAAGCCCCCGGCUCAACCGGGGAGGGUGGCUGGAAACUGGCGUUCUUGAGGGCGAGAGAGGAGGGUGGAAUUCCUGGUGUAGCGGUGAAAUGCGUAGAGAUCAGGAGGAACACCCGGGGCGAAGGCGGCCCUCUGGCUCGACCCUGACGCUGAGGCGCGAAAGCGUGGGGAGCGAACGGG
rnacentral:rRNA from 1 species